rnacentral:rRNA from 1 species
GUAGGGUGCGAGCGUUAAUCGGAAUUACUGGGGCGUAAAGCGUGCGCAGGCGGUUGUGCAAGACAGAUGUGAAAUCCCCCGGGGCUCAACCUGGGGAAUUGCAUUUGUGACUGCACGGCUAGAGUGUGUCAGAGGGGGGUAGAAUUCCACGUGUAGCAGUGAAAUGCGUAGAGAUGUGGAGGAAUACCGAUGGCGAAGGCAGCCCCCUGGGAUAACACUGACGCUCAUGCACGAAAGCGUGGGGAGCAAACAGGAUUAGAUACCCUGGUAGUCCACGCCCUAAACGAUGUCAACUAGUUGUCGGGUCUUAAUUGACUUGGUAACGCAGCUAACGCGUGAAGUUGACCGCCUGGGGAGUACGGUCGCAAGAUUA